CAGCAGCCGCGGGAAAACGUAGGUGGCAAGCGUUGUCCGGAAUUAUUGGGCGUAAAGGGCUCGCAGGCGGUUUCUUAAGUCUGAUGUGAAAGCCCCCGGCUCAACCGGGGAGGGUCAUUGGAAACUGGGAAACUUGAGUGCAGAAGAGGAGAGUGGAAUUCCACGUGUAGCGGUGAAAUGCGUAGAGAUGUGGAGGAACACCAGUGGCGAAGGCGACUCUCUGGUCUGUAACUGACGCUGAGGAGCGAAAGCGUGGGGAGCGAACAGGAUUAGAUACCAGGGUAGUCCCUGUCUCUUAUAC
rnacentral:rRNA from 1 species